GAUGAAGAACACAGCGAAAUGCGAUAAGUAAUGUGAAUUGCAGAAUUCAGUGAAUCAUCGAAUCUUUGAACGCACAUUGCGCCCCUUGGUAUUCCGAGGGGCAUGCCUGUUCGAGCGUCAUUAUAACCCCUCAAGCUCAGCUUGGUGUUGGGGCCUGCUGCACUGGCAGCCCUUAAAAUCAGUGGCGGCGCCAUCUGGCUCUAAGCGUAGUAAUUCUUCUCGCUAUGGAGUCCUGGUGGAUGCUUGCCAUCAACCCCCAAUUUUUCUAUGGUUGACCUCGGAUCAGGUAGGGAUACCCGCUGAACUUAAGCAUAUCAAUAAGCGGAGGA
rnacentral:misc_RNA from 1 species